rnacentral:rRNA from 1 species
UAUUGGCUGUUCUCAGCUCGUGUCUUGAGAUGUUGGGUUAAGUCCCGCAACGAGCGCAACCCUUGUCCUCAGUUACCAGCACGUUAUGGUGGGCACUCUGGGGAGACUGCCGGUGACAAACCGGAGGAAGGUGGGGACGACGUCAAGUCAUCAUGGCCCUUACGGCCAGGGCUACACACGUGCUACAAUGGUGCAUACAGACGGUUGCCAAGCCGUGAAGUGGAGCUAAUCUGAGAAAGUGCAUCGUAGUCCGGAUUGGAGUCUGCAACUCGACUCCAUGAAGUCGGAAUCGCUAGUAAUCGUGAAUCAGAAUGUCGCGGUGAAUACGUUCCCGGGA